rnacentral:rRNA from 1 species
GUGGUGGGAACCGAUGCAGUGAGGUCAGCGUAUUAACAGGUGUGACGCAGGAAGGUAGCCGAGCCAGGCAAUGGAAUUGACCUGGUCCAAGGGUGUAGGAAGAGUGGUUGGCAAAUCCGCCGCUCAUAUGUUCUGAGACCUGAUAGGCGCCCACUUUGGUGGGUGAUUCGGUGAUCCUAUGCUGCCUAGAAAAGCAUCGGCGCGAGGUCCCAGUCCGCCCGUACCCCAAACCGACACAGGUGAUCAGGUAGAGAAUACUAAGGCGAUCGAGAGAAUCAUGGUUAAGGAACUCGGCAAAAUGCCCCCGUAACUUCGGAAGAAGGGGGGCCUGCCUCGUGAUCAGCUCUUGCAGUUGUGAGCGGGUGUGGGCCGCAGAGACCAGGGGGAAGCGACUGUUUACUAAAAACACAGGUCCGUGCGAAGUCGCAAGACGAUGUAUACGGACUGACUCCUGCCCGGUGCUGGAAGGUUAAGAGGACUGGUUAGCCGUAAGGCGAAGCUGAGAAUUUAAGCCCCAGUAAACGGCGGUGGUAACUAUAACCAUCCUAAGGUAGCGAAAUUCCUUGUCGGGUAAGUUCCGACCUGCACGAAUGGAGUAACGACUUCCCCGCUGUCUCAACCAUGAACUCGGCGAAAUUGCAGUACGAGUAAAGAUGCUCGUUACGCGCAGCAGGACGGAAAGACCCCGAGACCUUUACUAUAGUUUGGUAUUGGUGUUCGGUGCAGCUUGUGUAGGAUAGGUGGGAGACUGUGAAGCUUGGACGCUAGUUCAGGUGGAGUCAUCGUUGAAAUACCACUCUGGCUGUAUCGGUCACCUAACUUCGGACCAUGAUCUGGUUCAGGGACAGUGCCUGAUGGGUAGUUUAACUGGGGCGGUUGCCUCCUAAAAUGUAACGGAGGCGCCCAAAGGUUCCCUCAGCCUGGUUGGCAAUCAGGUGUCGAGUGUAAGUGCACAAGGGAGCUUGACUGUGAGAGUGACAGCUCGAGCAGGGACGAAAGUCGGGACUAGUGAUCCGGCGGCACCUCGUGGAAGGGCCGUCGCUCAACGGAUAAAAGGUACCUCGGGGAUAACAGGCUGAUCUUGCCCAAGAGUCCAUAUCGACGGCAUGGUUUGGCACCUCGAUGUCGGCUCGUCGCAUCCUGGGGCUGGAGUAGGUCCCAAGGGUUGGGCUGUUCGCCCAUUAAAGCGGUACGCGAGCUGGGUUUAGAACGUCGUGAGACAGUUCGGUCCCUAUCCGCUGCGCGCGUUGGAAAUUUGAGAAGGGCUGUCCUUAGUACGAGAGGACCGGGACGGACUAACCUCUGGUGUGUCAGUUGUACUGCCAAGUGCAUCGCUGAUUAGCUACGUUGGGAAGGGAUAACCGCUGAAAGCAUCUAAGCGGGAAGCCUGCUUCGAGAUGAGAUUUCCAUGCACCUUGAGUGUGUGAGGCCCCCAGCUAGACCACUGGGUUGAUAGGCAGGAUGUGGAAGCAAGGACUGAAGACUUGUGUAGCUGACCUGUACUAAUAGGCCGAUGACUUUCAACACACAA